rnacentral:rRNA from 1 species
CCUACGGGAGGCAGCAGUGAGGCAUAUUGGUCAAUGGACGAGAGUCUGAACCAGCCAAGUAGCGUGAAGGAUGACUGCCCUAUGGGUUGUAAACUUCUUUUAUAUGGGAAUAACAUGUUCCACGUGUGGGAUUUUGUAUGUACCAUAUGAAUAAGGAUCGGCUAACUCCGUGCCAGCAGCCGCGGUAAUACGGAGGAUCCGAGCGUUAUCCGGAUUUAGUGGGUUUAAAGGGAGCGUAGGUGGAUUGUUAAGUCAGUUGUGAAAGUUUGCGGCUCAACCGUAAAAUUGCAGUUGAAACUGGCAGUCUUGAGUACAGUAGAGGUGGGCGGAAUUCGUGGUGUAGCGGUGAAAUGCUUAGAUAUCACGAAGAACUCCGAUUGCGAAGGCAGCUCACUGGACUGCAACUGACACUGAGGCUCGAAAGUGUGGGUAUCAAACAGGAUUAGAUACCCUAGUAGUC